rnacentral:ncRNA from 1 species
UAAAGAUUUAUUUAUAAUUUAUUAUAAUUUAUUUUACAUAUAAAUUUUAGUAUAAUUUAUUAAUAAUUUAAAUAAUUUAUAUUAAUUUUGUAGUAAUUAGUAUUAAAAAUAUAAGAAAUUAUGAUUUAGUAAUUUUAUGAUUAAUAACAAAUUUUGUGCCAGCAGUUGCGGUUAGACAAAAAUUAAGAUAAAUUUUUUCAGUUAAAAUUAUUAUAAGAUUUAUUUUAAAAUUAAAUUUUAAAUUAUUAAGUAAAAUUUUAAUUUAAUUAAAAUUUAUAUUUAAUAUAUGAUUUAUUAAAUUUAUAAAAAAACUAGGAUUAGAUACCCUAUUAUUAAAAAUAUAAGUUAAAAUACUAAAAUAGUAAAUAAAUAAUUAUUGAAACUUAAAUAAUUUGGCGGUAUUUUAGUUCAUUUAGAGGAAUCUGUUUAAUAAUUGAUAUUCCACGAUUAAAUUUACUUAAUUUAAUAUUUUGUAUAUCGUUGUUAAAAAAAUAUUUUUUAAUAAAAAUAAUAUUUAAAAAUUAAAUUAAAAAAUUAAUUCAGAUCAAGAUGCAGAUUAUAAUUAAGAAUAUAAUGGAUUACAAUAAAUUUAUUUAAACGAAUAUUUUUUUUUGUAAUAAAUAAUUAAAGGUGGAUUUAAAUGUAAUUUUAUUUAAUUUAAUAAAAUGAUUAAAAAUUAAAAUAUGUACAUAUUGCCCGUCGCUUUCAUUUAAAAAUUGGAAUAAGUCGUAACAAAGUAGAGGUACUGGAAAGUGUUUCUGGAAAGAU